rnacentral:rRNA from 1 species
UACAGAGGUCCCAAGCGUUGUUCGGAUUCACUGGGCGUAAAGGGUGCGUAGGUGGCCAGGUAAGUUUGGUGUGAAAGCUCGGAGCUUAACUCCGAAAAGUCAUUGAAUACUAUCUGGCUGGAGGGUCGGAGGGGAGACUGGAAUUCUCGGUGUAGCAGUGAAAAUGCGUAGAUAUCGAGAGGAACACCAGUGGCGAAGGCGAGUCUCUGGACGACUCCUGACACUGAGGCACGAAAGCUAGGGGAGCAAACAGG